rnacentral:lncRNA from 1 species
GGGAGAGUUGAUCUAAUCUCUCGGUUUUUCUCUUUAUGUUUACUUGGGACUUUAAUGGCACUGUUCUGCAACAAUGUACUAACAUCUGAAGGUUAGCACUCUACGUAUAUGAAUAUCUGCUCCAUGUAGGAGCUCAGAAAUCAGCCCAAACAUUUUUAUCAGAGAUAAGAUGGGAAAAAAACAUCACAUUGGGGGAACCACCAGGAUUCUUACAUUCUUGGUGGUGUGUAUUUUGGGAUCUCUACUGUGCAGCUCCAGAGAGACGUGAAACAUGUGAACACUCAAGUGAAGCAAAAGCCUUCCAUGAUUACCCUUUUAUGUCACCUCGGUACCCUGGAGGUCCAAGGCCCCCAUUGAGGAUACCUAAUCAGGCACUUGGAGGUGUCCCAGGAAGUCAGCCAUUACUCCCCAGUGGAAUGGAUCCAACUCGACAACAAGGACAUCCAAAUAUGGGUGGGCCAAUGCAGAGAAUGACUCCUCCAAGAGGAAUGGUGCCCUU